UUUAACUAAAUGGUUUUCACAAGUAAGUUUGCUACUAAAUACAAGUAAACAGUAAACUCAAUGUGAAGGCCAGUCACGCUUACAUUAUGCAACACUUAUUUGUACCGUGACAUACGACGAAUCUGAUUUCUAUUUCAUAAUCUCAUUUCAGCUAAAUGUUUCCCGAAAUGCACAGUGCAGGUAUACUCAACUAUAAGGAUGUUCACAUCAACUGCUCUAGAAAGGCUAAUGCACUUGUAUUUGCCUAUACAUUCCGCUUGGACAGUUGAUUGGUCUUCUUCGACAGGCACCAAGUGCCUGGAAUUUAAAAUGGUUGCUGAUGACUUCAGUGCAGAUCAAGCCAUGUUCAACCAAAGUAGCUGACUAAGUCAAUAUAGGGCAAAGUGAUAUACAAGAAAAGGCGUAAAACUCUGGAAUGUAGGUUUAAAGAAAUUAGAAGCAGACAAAAGCCUAGAAAUAUCAGACAGUCCGAAAUGGGUAUGUCAUGGACAGUAAUGCAAACCAAUCGACAAUCAGUCUAUAUUUGAGGAACUACACAUAAAACGCCAGUUGUCAACAAUGUGUCAUGUGAAGUAAUUAAAAGACUGGCAGACUGUAAGAAGCGUAUACCAGCAUGACUCUUUCCAACUGGAAACUAUUUUGUAAUAGGCAUUCAUAUCUGCUAUUUUCGGUUGAAUUACCAUUAUACUAAAAAACAGGAUUUAACAAAAUAAGCAACAAGAAAGCCUGCCAUAUCUCAGCCAAGUUAAAAAAUAAUCUUUUAAUGAAAAAAAACCUUGCCCGUAAAAGGCAUAGCAUAGAGUGAUAAUCGAAAAAGGCUAAAAAAGGAGAAUGAGUCAAAACAAGAAAAAAGCUAACAACUUAUGUGAUCAAGAUUGAUACAGACAAAAGUGACAAAUGAAGAAUGGGAUGAAUUAAACAAAUUGAUAAUGCACAAUGUAGAUGUCCUGGUUUGAACAUUGGAGAUACUGGUCGCAAGUUGAUCAUAAUUUGGAUUUUAGCGCGGCAGUAUAUUGAGCGCUACAAGAGGAGCUGUCUUAUCUGCGCAACGAGUCAAUUCCAGAUUGUCUGCUCAAGGAGACGACUAAAUAGGGAUGACGAUGACGAUUGCCAUUCUGUUUAGUCCGUCAGUUGGAUCGUCCAAUAAUACUGAACACGUAUUGUUCGCUUUUUCUAAUUAAUGAAUAAAUACAAAGAUAUAGAGCAUCAAAGUUCCGGAGUGGGGGCUUGUGAGUUGUGACGUCAAUUCUAAGUAAAAAUUGUACCUAGGCGUGACGUCACGCGAAAC